rnacentral:sRNA from 1 species
GGCUGAACUCUACAGGGGAGCAGCAGUGUAUCCAUAGUCCAUAUUUUCCUGUGUGUUCAUUCAUCCAUUCAGCAAAUGUUCAUUGAGUGCCUACUGUUGUCAGGCACUGUUCUAGGUGCAAUGAAGGACUUCUGUAGGCGUGAGGAGUGGGACCAGUGAGUGUCUUUAUCUUGUGGGUCUUUUACAUUUGCAUUUCAAAACAUCCUCCACCUUUGCCUCUGUCAGGAAUCUUCUUUUGAUGGCAAGAUAUGAUGGGAAUUGGGAAGAUGAGGAUGUUUUACUUUUAGAGUUUUUAUUCAUUUAUUUAUGUUUUUGUGUCAGUUAAAGGAAACAUUAGCAAAAGUUCCACCUAAUCAUGUGGGAAAGCCUUUACUGAAGAAGCCAAUGGGACCAGCCCACUGGGAAAAGAUAGAAGCAAUUAACCAAGCCAUAGCCAAUGAAUAUGAAGUCCGGAGAAAGCUGCUAAUAAAACGUUUGGAUGUCACUGUACAAUCCUUUGGCUGGUCUGACAGAGCUAAGAGCCAGACAGAAAAAUUAGCCAAGGUUUACCAGCCGAAACGUUCAGUCUUAUCCCCUAAAAGUACUAUUUCUGUUGCCCAUCUU